rnacentral:lncRNA from 1 species
GGAAGCUCUUGCCUGUGUGGGUGUGGGCAGUUAACCUCCAAACCCAUGGAUGAAGGGACAAAACCCCUCCGAAGUGGAGAAAAAAAGGAGUGAAAAUGCCUGCCUUGGAGCAUUGCCGCAUGCAGACUGUUAUGCGCACAGCUACACUGGAAAGUGAGGCAGGAAAACGACCCUAAGAGAAGCCCAAGGUGCUGUGAAAAUACCAAGGCAAGCAGUCAGACUGGCUGCGAUGGGCCGCAAGAAGGGCUUUCUGCAGGAGGUAGCAGAGAACAUUUAUCCCAUAAGUGCCCUGAGGUCUCCAUCUGUGUGUCACAGACGUGUGAAAACCAGGAAACAGCAGAGGGGAGCGGCGGUCAAGUCUGCUGCAUGCCAUGUCACCUUGGCCAAGUCACUCCCCUUUCUGGACCUCAGGAUCCUCCUAGGUAUCUGUGGGUCUCCUAAGGGAAUGGAGGCUGCAGAACCACCCAAGAAGGAGGGCCCUUCCUCUACUGCAGUGAGGAUGAGGCAAAUGAGAGGAUGA